rnacentral:pre_miRNA from 1 species
UGGCAGUGUGGUUAGCUGGUUGUGUAUCCUUUACCAUUACAACCACUGAUUACACUUCCUUG